GAUGAACGCUGGCGGCGUGCCUAAUACAUGCAAGUCGAGCGAAUGGAUUAAGAGCUUGCUCUUAUGAAGUUAGCGGCGGACGGGUGAGUAACACGUGGGUAACCUGCCCAUAAGACUGGGAUAACUCCGGGAAACCGGGGCUAAUACCGGAUAACAUUUUGAACCGCAUGGUUCGAAAUUGAAAGGCGGCUUCGGAUGUCACUUAUGGAUGGACCCGCGUCGCAUUAGCUAGUUGGUGAGGUAACGGCUCACCAAGGCAACGAUGCGUAGCCGACCUGAGAGGGUGAUCGGCCACACUGGGACUGAGACACGGCCCAGACUCCUACGGGAGGCAGCAGUAGGGAAUCUUCCGCAAUGGACGAAAGUCUGACGGAGCAACGCCGCGUGAGUGAUGAAGGCUUUCGGGUCGUAAAACUCUGUUGUUAGGGAAGAACAAGUGCCAGUUGAAUAAGCUGGCACCUUGACGGUACCUAACCAGAAAGCCACGGCUAACUACGUGCCAGCAGCAGCCGCAG
rnacentral:rRNA from 1 species